UACGUAGGGGGCUAGCGUUGUCCGGAUUUAUUGGGCGUAAAGAGCGUGUAGGCGGCCUGGUAGGUCUGCUGUGAAAACUCGAGGCUCAACCUCGAGCUGUCGGCGGAAACCACUUGGCUAGAGUCCGGAAGAGGAGAGUGGAAGUUCCUGGUGUAGCGGUGAAAUGCGCAGAUAUCAGGAAGAACACCUAUGGCGAAGGCAGCUCUCUGGGACGGUACUGACGCUGAGGAGCGAAAGCGUGGGGAGCGAACAGG
rnacentral:rRNA from 1 species